CGGUGGCGAUAGCGAAGAGGUCACACCCGUUCCCAUGCCGAACACGGAAGUUAAGCUCUUCAGCGCCGAUGGUAGUCGGGGGUUUCCCCCUGUGAGAGUAGGACGCCGCCAAGCU
rnacentral:rRNA from 1 species